rnacentral:lncRNA from 1 species
UUUGGUGGGAACUUUAUUUUUGCUGUGUGUGGAGUUGCGAGGUGCGUUGUAACGCGGGUGAGCACGUUUAGUACCGUGCCCGACGGGCACGGUGUCGUACGGGACGAUGCGGCCAACGGUUGGCACGGAGCGCUUGCCUCGGUACCCACGGAAACGAUGUGCUGUACAAGGAUGCAACAGCAACUCCCGUACGCCUGGCAUUUCACUUCACCGUUUCCCUCUCAUUCCCACAAGGCGUGAAUCCUGGGUGAGGUUCUGCAGAAACCCGUGUCUGCAUGAUAAGACGCCGGGACAGCUGCGGCUCAGAGUGGUGUGCUCGCUGCACUUUCGUGAAUCGGCAUUCCUGCGGCCCGGUUUUCUUUGUCAAGACGCAGUACCUACGGUAUUUCCUGUCAUCGCAGGCGCCGGAGCUAAC